rnacentral:rRNA from 1 species
UACGGAGGGUGCGAGCGUUGUCCGGAAUCACUGGCGUAAGGGCGCGAGUAGGCGGCGGCGGAAAGUCGUCGGUGAAAGCUCGGGGCUCAACCUCGAGACGCCGGCGGAAACCAUCAGGCUAGAGUCCGGAAGAGGAGAGUGGAAUUCCUGGUGUAGCGGUGAAAUGCGCAGAUAUCAGGAAGAACACCCGUGGCUAAGGCGGCUCUCUAGUACGGUACUGACGCUGAGACGCGAAAGCGUGGGGAGCGAACAGG